AGAGACUACAUAACACUACAAAAAAGUGAGUAUAAGGGAUAAUUUUUGGGGACCAAUUUUUUUUAUGAUCCUCAAAUCAUAAUUUUUUUAUAUUAUAGGGGAUUAAUAUAUUUUUUGCCUCUAAUUGAAUUACCGGGGAUGACUUUUCUAUCAUAAUUUAAAAAAAAAAUUCUCACAUGUAAGAGACAAUUAUAUAUAUGAUCCCUGAAUUGUGAGUUAAGGGUACAAGUAAAUGCCCUUUGUUUCUUAAAGCCACGGAAAGUCGAAAAGUCUCGUUGAGAACCUCUAGCUGUUGCUGCUUCUUCUUCUUCGAGGUUUCCAAGGGAAGGAGGGAAUUCAAUCGAAUUUUUUAUUUGCUGUGAUGGGCUUUCACUGUUAUUCUACAUUUCUCUUCAACUCGAGAGAUCGAGCUAGAUUUGAUAGCGGCCCUUAUGAACACCAAAUGUUUGUUGAUUUGUCUGGUUGAAUUGGUAGUUGAUUUGUUGUUGUUUCAGUGUCAAGCUUAUGUAUUCACUCAUUGUUGUUCUUCAUGGCAAUUUCAAUGCUGUUUGUGUAGAAUUGUGCCAAAGUUACCUGACUUUGGGAAUCUUUGUAACUUUCUUGUUUCUCUGUUCAUGACAACCCAAGGGCUACAUUAAGACAAUAUGAGUAAAAUAUGAAAAAUAAUAGCUUAUGGGUGGACUUGACAAGGGCAUUAACGUGAUUAAAAAUUGGAAUAAAAAACAUAGCUGCAGUGUUCUUGCUAUCC